rnacentral:rRNA from 1 species
AACGAACGCUGGCGGCAUGCCUAACACAUGCAAGUCGAACGAGACCUUCGGGCCUAGUGCCGCAUGCGUGCGUAACGGGUGGGAACCUGCCCUUAGGUCUGGAAUAACUCCCCGAAAGGGGUGCUAAUACCGGAUAUUGUCCCCCGACCAAAGAUUUAUCGCCUUUGGAUGGUCGCGCGUUGGAUUAGAUAGUUGGUAGGCUAAAAGCGUCCCACGGGGUCGUUCGAUAGCUGGUCAGUGAGGAAGGUCAGCCACACUGGGACUGAGACACGGCCCAGAAUCCUACGGGAGGCGGCAGUGGCGAAUAUAGGACAGCGGGCUGAAGGAUGAACCAGCUCGGCCGGGUGAGUGAUUAAGGUCUUAGGGAAGUAAAGCACGUUUACCCGGGACGAUAAUGACAGUACCAAGAGAAUAAGCACCGGCUAACUCCGUG